UGAAAACAGUAUUAUUUCGGCGUACUACGCCGGAUUUUCUGAUUUUCCGAAGAAAAGUGUAUUAAGUAUUAAAAUUGUGUACUGUGCGAUAUAAAUUUCUUAUAAUUUUUCGAAACAAAAGCGUAUUAUUUCUCUUUGAUACGCUUUUCCUUCAAUUGUCAAGUACUUAGAACAGAAGGCAAAUACCGUCAAUAAGGAAGACUUGGAAAUUACUUUUUAUAGUGAUAACUGCAGAGCUCAGAAUAAAAACAAAUACAUAACUGCUCUUUUAAUGUAUGAGUACUUGUACAACUCAAAAUAAAGAGCAUUUCUCAUAAAUUCCUUAUUGCCCGACACACGCAAAAUGAAGGAGACAGCACACAUUCAACAAUUGAGAAAGGUUUUUUUUUCCUAUAAAACUGUUCUCGAAAACUUCCGAAACUUAAAGAAAGAAAAUAAUUAACACACAAAGACUUUAUAGAUGCAACAAUUAACAACAGAUAUAGGUAAUAAUUUCGAUAAAAAUGUUGAAAAUGAACAGGUUUACUUAUCCCAGAUUAAAAUUGUAAAAGUAGAAAAGCAACAGCCUUUCAGGUAUUUUUAUAAACAGUCAUAUUCGGAUAGCCAAUGGAAGUGUGUUAAACAAAAAAAAAAAAAAACGAGAAAAUCUAGAUCUGCGGCAUCAUUCUUUCUUCAUUCUUUGCCAGCAGAAGUGAAACUUAGAAAAGCGUAUAAUUCAAA